rnacentral:rRNA from 1 species
CAAUAGCGUAUAUUAAAGUUGUUGCGGUUAAAAAGCUCGUAGUUGGAUUUCGGCGGACAGGGGGCGGUUCGAUAUUUGUCGCUACUGCCCCAUUUGUCCGUGUUUUUGGCGGAGGUUUCAGGGUGCUCUUCACCGAGUGUCCUGGGAUGCCGCCAGGUUUACUUUGAAAAAAUUAGAGUGCUCAAAGCAGGCUUUACACGCUUGAAUAUUCGUGCAUGGAAUAAUGGAAUAGGACGUCGUUUCUAUUUUGUUGGUUUUCGGAAAUCGACGUAAUGAUUAACAGGGACAGUCGGGGGCAUUAGUAUUCAGACGACAGAGGUGAAAUUCUUGGACCGUCUGAAGACUAACUACUGCGAAAGCAUUUGCCAAGAAUGUUUUCAUUAA